rnacentral:piRNA from 1 species
UCAUGGAGUGGGAGGUCCAGGUCUGCAUC